UGUAAACGUUUUUAAACCUGUCAGACGACGGAAUUGUCCCGAAAUUACAUGUUUUUUCAAGCACUUGGACAAGUUGGCAAAUUCCAGAAGAAAUUGAAAAACAGUGUGACUGACUAAUGAAGACAGAGAUGUCUGGUCUUCAGUCACUGUUGCUUUCCAUCACACUGAGCAGAGAUGUCUCAAUCUAUCAAUGUUGAAGCCUUGAUGAGUCGCCAGCAAUCUGCUUUCUCUAUCCAAUCAAUGUCCUGAUUUACAGAUGAACUGAUGAAGACCGCAGAAAUGUCCGAUCUUCAUUGAUGGAUGGCUGUCAAUCACACUGAGCAGAGGAGUCUCAAUCUAUCAAUGAUGAAGUCUGUGAGAGUCUCCAGCAGUCUGCUUUGACAACUCAAUCAACUUCACAUUUAAAGAUCAAGUGAUCCAAACUGCGGUUGUCAGAUCAUCAUUCAUAGUGCUGUCCAGAUUGUCAGAUCAUCAGCCAUAGUGGCAGUCCUUGUUGCACAGAGAACUUCCUGUCUACAGAUCAAGUGAUCCAAACUGCGGUUGUCAAAUCAUCAGUCAUAGUGCUGUCCAGAUUGUCAGAUCAUCAGUCAUAGUGGCAGUCCGUGUUGCACAGAGCAGAAGUGAUGCUGAAGACUAGUGUCCAGCAAUCUGCGACAUGACAACUCAUUCAAUUUCCUGUCUACAGAUCAACUAAUCAAGUUAGUUGAGAGUGUCAGAUCUUCAUUCAGAGUGGGAGUACCUCUGCCUUAAACACAUCAAUCAACUUUACAGAUCAACUAAAUCCAGACGGAGAGUUUUGGAUACUCACAAGGAGUUUUCAGCCCAUCAAACAACCAUCACCAUCGUUGCCUCAACCUUUUUGUAUAGUUUGUAAUUAGUUGUAGAUUACUGGUAUAGAUUUAAGGUUGUUAGGUGUGGUGAAUUGAUCACACUCGCCCCUGUGAAAUUCUGCACUUCCCCUGUGUUGUGAAUUUCUUGCACAUCCAACUUGUCUUGUGAAUUUCUCCCACUUCCACUGUGGUGAGUUGCUCAUACUUUCACCUUGUGUCAUGAAUUAUCAAGUUGAUAAACUGAAACGUUGUCUAGGGCUGAGUUGGAAGAAUGUUUUGCUAUCUAUUCUAGCACAUUCAUUUCGCUCAUUUAAUUUAGAUGUAUGCUGAUGUAUGGAGUUGACAAACUUGGUUGCCAUAUAGUGGAACCGGUAUGGGAAUUUUUCCCCCACAGGGGUUUUUGCCCAUCUCAUAUAUCGGCAAUAGCAGGCAUGCAAUAUCUGAUUUGUAUGGUUUUGGUUUUCUCAGCCAUUAAAACAUUUAAAAAGGCAGCACAAAAUCUUGCUGUGCUUGGAUUUCUGGAAAUGUCAAAUCUUUUAUCAAAAUAUAGAGUUGCAUGACUGAAAUAGGAGACACUCUUGUGUCUAAUUUCUUAGGAGUCAAACAAAAUUUGACAUAAUACCAGUUUUUUUAUGCAAUAUCUGAUUUGUAUGGUUUUGGGUGUUUAACAGCCAUUAAAAUGUUUAAAAACACAGCACAAAAUCUGUGCUUCGAUUUCUGGAAAUGUCUUUUAUCAAAAUAUAGAGUUGCAUGACUGAAGUAGGAGACACUUUAGUGUCUAAAUUCUUAGCAGUCAAACAAAAUUUGACCUACCUAAUACUAGUUUAUUUAUUUGUUGAAUAUUUUGGUAGAUUAUAUCAACGUUUCUGGGUGUGCCAGGGUGCAUCACACUUUGUGUGUUGAGUACAGACACUUUCCCUUGUGUUACUCUGAGUUGCUCACACUUCCUUUGUGUGAGUAGCUCCCACGUCCUUAGUUUGUUGAGUACACAUACCUAACCCAGUUACUCUGAGGUGCUCACACUUCCUUUGUGUGUUGAGUACAGACACUUUCCCUUGUGUAACUCCGAAUUGCUCACA